UUAUAAAGGAAGUGUCUGAUUAGUCAUUUACUCAUUACGAAAUUAUUUUACAAAUUGCACUGCUAUUCUAUAUUCUACCCAGAAGUAAACUCAAUUAAACUGAAUGGGAUUUAUUCACAGAUACAUGAACAAGCAGAUGGCACUCCACUCUGCCAGACGGGAUCUGGAGCAUGUCUCCUGCUGGAUCUCAUAGAAUGGAUACAAACAAUUACAGAGAGACAGACAACUAUCAGCAACUCCUUAAAUCAGUUGUGCCUUUUUGGGGGGAUCAUGACACUGUCCUUUACAGCUACAAUGGGAUUCCAGGAAAACAUGUGUUUGAAAGAGAUGUUCCAUUCAGUAAGGUAGCCCUUUCCCAUUAAACCUAUAGUCCAACUAAUUAUGAACAUUGAGUAUCAGUUACACAACAAAAGGACUGGUUGUCUGAGGUACCGCCUCUCUCCCAUUUCUGCCAGUCUGGCAUGUGGGUGCUUAUUAAAUGUUGCCAUCUUGUGGGAUCAAAAAGGUGAGACUUCUCUUUUGUGUCCCACACACUUUGAACAGCAUCUCCCCUCAAGAAAUCAGGAUGGACCCCCCCCCCGGAGUUCUUGGAAGUCUUUAAAACUUGGUUCUCAACCUCAGGGCUAUGCUGUUAGGGGUGGACCCUGGCAUGUCAUGUGACUGGGUUUAGUUCAGGCCGUCUUGCCUUGUCCAUGUUGUUUUAACUAUGUAUUAGAUUACAAAAUCUAAAUCUAAAUCUGCCCAGAGUCUAUUGGAGUGGACAGCCAUAACAAGUUGAAAUAAAUGGAUAAACUCUCAAACCUCCUAGGUGUUGUUUUUUAAACAUUCAAACCAUCUGACUUAUUUAAAAGGCCCCAGUUUAUAAAUAAGUCAUUUUAAUUGAAAAGCCUUUUAUUAAAUACAACUAAGAUGAACCAAAUGCCCUCAAUUCAUACUUGCUACAUAUGUAGUAGAAGUUGCUUUAUUUAGGGUUCUAGGGUGCAUUGUUCUUUGGAAAUUGAGACAAAAAGAUUUCCUUUUUGUCACAAGUGAAAAUUUAGAAGGGGAGCGAUAAAAAAAAAGAAGAGAGAAAAGGGGGAUGAGAUUAGCAAUAAAAAUUUGAAAGUCAGAUGACCAGUUAGUAUCCGUAUCCUUUCUCAAAGCCUGUACAAAAAAAAUUGCACUGAAUUAUCCUCAAACUUCUAACAGCUAAAUUGAAUACUUGAAAAAAAUCCCAAAUUAUUUUAGUGACUCUACUGCUAAUGGAGUUAUAAGAAAAUUGUAAAUAUACCAUUUACAUUAACAAUAUCUUGUUGUAAUUUCAUUGAGUUUAACUGCAUUUCAUUUCAUUUUAAAGUAGUAGAGCAAAAAUUGUAUCUCUGGUACCUAGUAAGCUGAAAGAUAAGCAUUUUUCCCCAGGAAGAAUGGGUCCCCUAGUUUUUUCAAUAAAUUAAAAAUAUUUGCAGAAUGUGCAGAUGUGCAGAAUCAAGUCCUAAAUGUCUUGCAGUUUAUAGGGAAUAUUAUAUUACAAUAAUCUUUGGCAAAACCAGAAGACUCAGUGUUAUAAUAAAAUAGGAUAAUAAAAAGUACAGUAAUUCACAGAAGAGGCAAGUGUUUGGUAGAAGCGAGACAUCUGUUUCUUCCAGGAGACAGAAACAUAUAUUGUUGUCUCCCAUAUAUUUCAUUUUUCCACUCUGCAGAUUUAAGGAGAAAAUCCAUCUGUACAUCAGUUUCCUUAAAUUUAGUGAAGAGAUCCAACAGAACAUUUUGUUCUAUGAUGAACUGCUAAUGCUGAAUUGCUGUGUUUCUUUGUUUGGGAGGGAGGACAGGUUUUUUUUUUUAAUUAAACUCAACUGUUGUAAUAAAACUGAAAUAAAUUAGACAAUUUCCAGAGAAGGAAGAUUUAACACUGUUAACAGCCUUAUCUAACGGAUUUCCCCCCCCCUAUCUAAUAGAAAAAUGUAGCAUUAAAACAGGUGCUUUUACUGGUUUAUUACUGUACCGUUUCUCUACAGGUGAAUAAUUUUUCUAGAUCAAUAUGAACUGAAGCCUCCAUAAAAUAAGAACUUUUUUUUUCAGAAACAAUGCUUUGUUUUUAUAAAAAAAGAGCACAAUCUUUAUGCAUACUAAACCUAAAGCUGUGAGAACACUUCUCAUCAUGAAGUAUGAUUUUUUGUUGUUGUUAUUUGGCUUUAUAACUUUUUUGUUUGCUCAGACUGAGUCAAAUACAGACAUAUCACCAAGAGAUGUAUUUGUAAAUGGAUUUUACUAGCUGUUAGCAAUUCAUCUUUCAAUAGUCUCUUUUACUUCGUUAAUAUUCAAAAACCAUCUCAUCAUUACAUAUUUUCUGUGUCUGGACAUUUAGCUUCAGAAAAUUCAGUGGGACUUGCUUCUAAAUAAACAUGCUGGAGUAUUUGGCUGCAAAUAUACAAUGCUUUUCUUUAAGCAACAAAUAAAUUCCACUAAUUGAAUCCGCCUUUAACACAACAUUCCAAGUUCUGGCAUGUCCAUUAUCAAUAAGUCUUGCAUUUACACAUUCCUCUCUUCCUUAUACAUCCCAAUUCAUUCAGGUUCUUCUUCCUCAGUGCAAACAAUAGGCUGUCAUCACAUCUAACUAGCAAGCCAAUUUGUCAAUAAGUCCUGGGACAGCAGUACACAAGUACAAAGAAGACCAAAGAUCAUGCAGUUUGGCACUGCAACUCAGAAUUCUGAUUGGCAAACCUGAUUCUUCCACUUUAUUCUCACAAUGGAGCAGAUCUGGAAGACGUGAGGAGUGAAAUGAAGGCACACUUAUAUAAAUCAAAUUCUGGAUGCUCCUUGGCACCAGUUUUUCCACUAUCCUCCAACCUUACAAAGUGAUGAAGAAAUUUCCAAGUAUCACCUGAGGCCCACGUUCAUCCAACUGAAAAACUCUGCCUUAUCAAAACUUUUCUGCUGAUGGAAAUUUAUGCUGGACUCAAUCUUUAAACUGACAUUUUUCAAGAUGGAUUUUAUAUACUGAUAGGCCACGAGUUACAAAGGCAAGUGGGACGAAAUUUCGAUAAUCAAGCGACGUGAUUGUAAAGCUUAUUAGCCUGAAGAAAAGCCUUUCCUUCUCUUAUUUGACUCUGAGUUCAUCUUGUCUUAUAGCAGAGUAGGCUGCUGCAAUUUUCAGUUCCCCCUGUCCUCUAUUUCUGUAUUUUCCUUCUUCUAAUAAAAUCCAGGGCUGACAUACCUUUGGCAUUUUUGUGAGACAAGGGCUCCAUUGUCCCAUGUCCCUGAAACAGCAAUGCAGUCCUUUGCCUCUGAUCUGCCUUCCCAAUGGCCAAAGUUAAAAAUCAGAACUCUUCCACACUAACAAAUGAUAGUCUAAGCCAGCUGCCACUAGGGACCAACGAGAGAGAGAUUUUUCCACAGACAGAGGGGAUAUGGUUUUGCAUAUGCUGCCCGCAUCCUGCAGAUGGGGCUUUGCUUGUUGGCCCGGCCCAAUUUCUGGCAUGCUGUGGAUCGGUGCCAUUCCAUGGACCGGGGUGGGGACCCCUGGUCUAAGCCAUCACACCUGUCACCCUGAUUCCUAAAACAUAAUCUAACAUUUCCCCAACUGUUUGAAAACAGGAACAACAUUCCUAUGACUGAAUAUACAGAAAAAUACCUAAAGAUUAAAAACUGGCUGUCACUGAGAAGUGCUUUACCACAUACUGUUCUCUUUCAUAUUACUUUUUAAUGUGUAUGAGGAUUUCUUGUAUGCAGGAAUAGUCAGUAAAUCUCUCAUCCAUACACAGCAUCAUCAUUCAUAGUGAAAAUUAGACACAAAGUUUACCAUCACUCAACUUUCUAAAGUUAGUCAUCUACUUUCACUAGCACUUACC